rnacentral:rRNA from 1 species
UACGGACCGUCCAAACGUUAUUCGGAAUCACUGGGCUUAAAGGGUACGUAGGCGGCGCUGUUAGUCGGGCGUGAAAGCCCUCGGCUCAACCGAGGAACUGCGCCCGAAACUGCAGUGCUUGAGGGAGACAGAGGUAAGCGGAACUGAUGGUGGAGCGGUGAAAUGCGUUGAUAUCAUCAGGAACACCAGUGGCGAAAGCGGCUUACUGGGUCUCUUCUGACGCUGAGGUACGAAAGCUAGGGUAGCGAAGGGGAUUAGAUACCCCCGUAGUCCUAGCCGUAAACGUUGAGCACUUGAUCGAGGAUCCCCCCAUAGGUUCCCGGUCGUAGCGAAAGUGUUAAGUGCUCCGCCUGGGGAGUAUGGUCGCAAGGCUGAA